AGACCCGAAACCCGGUGAUCUAGCCAUGGGCAGGUUGAAGGUUGGGUAACACUAACUGGAGGACCGAACCGACUAAUGUUGAAAAAUUAGCGGAUGACCUGUGGCUGGGGGUGAAAGGCCAAUCAAACCGGGAGAUAGCUGGUUCUCCCCGAAAGCUAUUUAGGUAGCGCCUCGUGAAUUCAUCUCCGGGGGUAGAGCACUGUUUCGGCUAGGGGGCCAUCCCGGCUUACCAACCCGAUGCAAACUGCGAAUACCGGAGAAUGUUAUCACGGGAGACACACGGCGGGUGCUAACGUCCGUCGUGAAGAGGGAAACAACCCAGACCGCCAGCUAAGGUCCCAAAGUCAUGGUUAAGUGGGAAACGAUGUGGGAAGGCCCAGACAGCCAGGAUGUUGGCUUAGAAGCAGCCAUCAUUUAAAGAAAGCGUAAUAGCUCACUGGUCGAGUCGGCCUGCGCGGAAGAUGUAACGGGGCUAAACCAUGCACCGAAGCUGCGGCAGCGAACGUAUCACCCAAGACAACUUUACGGAGUUGACGAUUGACGGAGCGAAGCGACGUCAAAGCGUUCAUUAAAGUCGAGUUGGCUUAGGGAUACGUUCGUUGGGUAGGGGAGCGUUCUGUAAGCCUGUGAAGGUGUGUCGUGAGGCAUGCUGGAGGUAUCAGAAGUGCGAAUGCUGACAUAAGUAACGAUAAAGCGGGUGAAAAGCCCGCUCGCCGGAAGACCAAGGGUUCCUGUCCAACGUUAAUCGGGGCAGGGUGAGUCGACCCCUAAGGCGAGGCCGAAAGGCGUAGUCGAUGGGAAACGGGUUAAUAUUCCCGUACUUGGUGUUACUGCGAAGGGGGGACGGAGAAGGCUAUGUUGGCCGGGCGACGGUUGUCCCGGUUUAAGCGGGUAGGUGUGUGUUCCAGGUAAAUCCGGUUCACUUUAACACUGAGGCGUGACGACGAGGCACUACGGUGCUGAAGCAACAAAUGCCCUGCUUCCAGGAAAAGCCUCUAAGCAUCAGGUAACACGAAAUCGUACCCCAAACCGACACAGGUGGUCAGGUAGAGAAUACCAAGGCGC
rnacentral:rRNA from 1 species